GUCAUUAAGAAAAACCUCUUCCUGUCAGUGACAAGAUGCUUUCAGAGCACUUUUUUCCAACCAACAAAUGAUCUUGAUUGGAAUCUUGCUGUGGCACUCUGAACCAAAGUUCAUUCAAUGUCUGAAAUUACGCUGUCAGCAAUGAAGGGAAAAUUUUCAAACAACUAUUACAUCCUCUCUACAGAUCUCAAAAACCACCAGAACUUAAAUGGGGGAAGAAGGCUGUGUGUUACCACAUAAUACAAGAGCUCUGCCUGCUCAUUUAUACCUGUGCAAUGGGACUCAUAAGGUUUUGGCAUUAAACAUUGCACAGUUACUGAGCUGCACUGGAACCAUAUUGGCUUGACUUGCUCAUGUCCAACCAAGUUUUGAGGCAGGAAAAUUAUCACAAUUUGUUAAAACUUAAAGCCUCAGGAGCCUCCAUUUUAAUAUACCUGUCAUGGGUAGAA